CUCGUAGGCGGUUCGUCGCGUCCGGUGUGAAAGUCCAUCGCUUAACGGUGGAUCCGCGCCGGGUACGGGCGGGCUUGAGUGCGGUAGGGGAGACUGGAAUUCCCGGCGUAACGGUGGAAUGUGUAGAUAUCGGGAAGAACACCAAUGGCGAAGGCAGGUCUCUGGGCCGUUACUGACGCUGAGGAGCGAAAGCGUGGGGAGCGAACA
rnacentral:rRNA from 1 species